rnacentral:rRNA from 1 species
CUACGGGCUGCUGCAGUGGGGAAUCUUAGACAAUGGGCGCAAGCCUGAUCUAGCCAUGCCGCGUGAGUGACGAAGGCCUUAGGGUCGUAAAGCUCUUUCGCUGGGGAAGAUAAUGACGGUACCCAGUAAAGAAACCCCGGCUAACUCCGUGCCAGCAGCCGCGGUAAUAAGGAGGGGGUUAGCGUUGUUCGGAAUUACUGGGCGUAAAGCGCGCGUAGGCGGAUCAGAAAGUUGGGGGUGAAAUCCCGGGGCUCAACCCCGGAACUGCCUUCAAAACUCCUGGUCUUGAGUUCGAGAGAGGUGAGUGGAAUUCCGAGUGUAGAGGUGAAAUUCGUAGAUAUUCGGAGGAACACCAGUGGCGAAGGCGGCUCACUGGCUCGAUACUGACGCUGAGGUGCGAAAGCGUGGGGAGCAAACAGGAUUAGAUACCCUAGUAGUC